rnacentral:lncRNA from 1 species
CAAACUGACCAAAAUUAAAGACAAAGAGAAAAUACUGAAAGCAGCUAGGAAAAAGAAACAAAUAACAUACAAAGGAACCCUGAUAAGGUUAUUGGCUGAUUUUCAGAGAAACUCUGCAGGCCAGAAGAGAGUAGCAUGAUAUACUUAAAGUGACGAAAGGAAAAAACCCUUCAACCAAGAUUACUCUAUCCAGCAAGACUUUCAUUCAGAUUCGAAGGAGAAAUUAAAACCUUUACAGACAAGCAAAAGCUAAGAGAAUGAGAAUUCAGCACCACUAAACCAGCUUUACAACAAAUACUAAAGGAACUUCUCUAGGUGGAAAAGAAAAGGCCACAACUAGAAAGAAAAAUAUUACAAAUGACAAGACUCACCAGUAAAGGUAUAUAGUAAAGGUAGGAAAUUAUCCACACACAAAAUAUGCUACCAAAAUCAGAAAUCAUGAGUGGAGGAGGGUACAAAUGCAGGAUACUGGAGAUACAUUUGCAAUUAAGAGACCAACAACUGGGAAUUCCCAUUGUGGCUCAGUGGCAAUGAAACUAAAUAGUAUCCAUGAGGUUUGAUCCCUGGCCUCACUCAGUAGGUUAAGAAUCUGACAUUGCAGUGAGCUGUGGUGGAGGUCACAGACGUGGCUUGGAGGCCACAUUGCUGUGGCUGUGGGGUAGGCUGGCAUCUACAGCUCCAAUUAGACCCCUAGCCUAGGAACUUCCAUAUGCCACAGGUACAGCCCUAAAAAGAAAAAAAAAAAGAGAGAGAGAGACCAACAACCUAAAACAAUCUUAUAUAUAUAUAUAGACUCCUGUAUCAAAACUUCAUGGUAACUGCAAACCAAAAAUCUAUAAUAGAUACACACAUACAAAUAACAAAAAGCAAUUCAAAAACAAUACUAAACAUAGGCAUCAAACCACAAGAGACAAGAACAAGAGAAGGGAAGAAAAAAGAGCAAUAAAAAAAAAAUCCAAAACAGUUAAUAAAAUGGCAAUAAGAACAUACUUAUCAAUAAUUACCUGAAAUGCAAAUGGACUAAAUGCCCCAACCAAAAGACACAGACUGCCUAAAUGGUAAAAACAAGACCCAUAAACAUGCUGUCUUCAAGAGACCCACUUCAGUCCUAAGAACACAUACAAACUGAAAAUGAGAGGAUGGAUGAAAAUAUUCCAUGCAAAGGGAAUCAAAAGAAAGCUGGAGUAGCAAUACUCCUAUCAGACAAAACAGACCUUAAAAUAAAGAAUGUUAUAAAUGACAAAUAAGGACAUUAAAUAAUGAUCAAAGGGUCAAUCAAAGAAAAUAUAAACAAUUGUAAAUAUAUAUGCACCCAACACAGGAUCACCUCAAUAUAUAAGGCAGCUACUAACAACCUUAAAAGGAGAAACUGACAAUAACACAAUUAACAGUGGGGGACUUUAACACCCCACUUACAGCAAAGGACACAGGCCUUAAGUGAUGCACUAGACCAGAAGGACUUAAUAGAUAUUUAUAAAAUAUUCCAUCCAAAAGCAGCAGAAUACAGUCUUCUCAAGUGCACAUGGAACAUUCUCUAAGAUAGAUCACAUUCUGGGCCACAAAUCAAGCCUCAGUAAAUUUAAGAAAAUUGAAAUCGUACCAAGCAUCUUUUUCAACCUCAACAAUGUAAGGCUAGAAAUCAACAACAAGAAAAAAACUGCACAAAGCACAAACACGUGGAGACUAAACAAAUGCUACUAAACAAACAAUGGAUGACUGAAAAAAUCAAAGAGGAAAUUGUAAACUACCUAGAAGCAAAUGAUGACAAAAACACAUCAAUCCAAAACCUACAGGAUGCAGUAAAAACAGUUCUAAGAGGCAAUACAAGCCUACCUCAGGAAACAAGAAAAAGCUCAAAUAAACAACCUAACUCUACACCUAAAGCAACUAGAGAAACAACAAACAAAACCCAAAUUUAGCAGAAGGAAAGAAAUCAUAAAGAUCAGAGCAAAAAUAAAUGAAAUAGAAAUGAACAAAACCAUAGAAAAGAUCAAAGGAACUAAAAGCUAGUUCCUUAAAAAGAUAAACAAAACUGAUAAGCCUUAGCCAGGUUCAUGAAGAAAAAAAGAAAAGAGUUCCUGUCUUGGCUCAGUGGAAACAAACUAGACUAGUAUCCAUGAUGAUGCAAGUUUGAUCCCUGACCUCAUUUAGUGGGUUAAGGACCCAGCAUUGCUGUGAGCUAUAGUGUAGGUUUCAGACACAGCUUGGAUCCUAUGUUGCCGUGGCUGUGACAUAAGCCAGCAGCUGUAGCUCCUAUUUGACCCCUAGCCUGGUAACUUCCAUAUGCCAUGGGUGUGGCCCUAAAAAAAGAAAAAAGAGAGAGGACUCUCUCUCUUUAGUAAAAAGGAAAAGUUACAAUGGACAUUACAGAAAUACAAAGGAUCAUAAGCGACUACUACAAGCAACUAGGUGCCAAUAAACAAGAAAACCUAGAAUAAGUGGACAAAUUCUUAUAAAAAUAUGAUCUUCUAAGACUAAACCAAGAAGAAAUAGAAAAGAUGAAUGGCCCAAUCACAAGUACUGAAAUUGAAGCUGUGAUUUAAAAACUUCCAACAAGCAAAACUCCAGGACCAGAUGGCUUCACAGGUGAAUUCCAUCAAUAAUUUAGAGAAGAGUUAAUACCUAUCCUUCUGAAACUAUUCCAAAAAACAUUGCAGAUGAAUACCCCCAACCUCAUUCAGUGAGGCCACCACCACCCUCAUACCAAAAUCAAAGAUACCACAAAAAAGAAAAUUGCAGGCCAAUAUCACUGAUGAACAUAGAUGCAAAAAUCCUCAACAAAAUACUAGCAAACCAAAUCCAGCAAUACAUUAAAAGGAUCACACACCAUGAUCAAGUGGAAUUUAUCCCAGGGAUGCAAGGAUUUUUCAAUGUCUGCAAAUCAAUCAGUGUGAUACACCACAUUAACAAACUGAAGAAUAAAAACCAUAUGAUCCUCUCAAUAUAUGCAGAAAAAGCUUUUAGCAAAAUCCAACACCCAUUUCUGAUAAAAACCCUUCAGAAAGGGGCAUAGAGGGAACCUACCUCAAUAUAAUAAAGGCCAUAUAUGACAAACCAACAGCCAACAUCAUUCGCAAUGGUGAAAAGCUGAAAGAACUCCCACUAAGAUCAGGAAUAAGACAAGCAUGUCUGUUUUUGCCACUACUAUCCAACAGAGUUUUGGAAGUACUAGCCAUGGCAGUCAGAGAAGAAAAAGAAAUAAAAGGGAUCAAAAUUGGAAAGGAAGAAGUGAAACUAUCACUGUUUGCUGAUGACAUGAUACUAUGCCUAGAAAACCCUUUAGAUGCUUUUUCUAAACAUAAAAAUUAGAGCUCAUCAAUGAAUUUGGUAAAGUUGCAGGAUACAAAGCUAAUACACAAAAAUCCACUUCAUUUCUAUAUACUAACAAUGAAAGAUCAGAAAGAGAAAUUAGGGAAACAAUCCCAUUUACCAUUGCAUCAGAAAGAAUAAAAUACCUAGAAAUAAACCAGCGUCAACCUUGGACAGCAUAGCACAUGAAAACUUCAGAACGAAGAGUGACAUUAAAUCUAGUCUAGGGCUAAAAACGUUGGGUUUUUUUAGGAAUAAACCUACCUAAAGAGACAAAAGACCUGUACUUUGAAAACUAUAAGAUACUGAUGAAAGAAAUCAAAGAUGACACAAACAGAUGGAAAGAUAUACCAUGGUCUUGGAAGAAUCAAUAUUGUCAAAAUGACUAUGCUACCCAAGACAACCUACUGAUUCAAUGCAAUCCCUAUCAAAUUACCAAUGGCAUUUUUCACAGAACUAGAACAAAAUAUUUUAAAUUUUGUUUGGAAGAACAAAAGACCCAGAAUAGCCAAAGCAAUCUUGAAAAAGAAAAAUGGAACUGGAGGAAUCAGGUUCCCUGGCUUCAGAGUAUACUACAAAGCUACAGUCAUCAAAAUGGUACGGUACUAGUGCAAAAACAGAAAUAUAGACUAGAUCAGUGGAACAAGAUAGAAAGCCAAGAAACAGUCCCUUUGAUAAGUGGUUCUAGGACAACCGGGCAGCCACAUGUAAAAGAAUGAAGUUAGAACACUUCCUAAGACCAUAUACAAAAAUAAACUCAAAAAAGAUUAAAGACCUAAAUAUAAGACCAGAUACUAUAAAACUCUUUGAAGAAAACAUAGGCCAAACACUCUCCAAACAUAAACCACAGCAAUAUCUUCUCAGAUCCACCUCCUAGAGUAAUGACAAUAAAAAUUUAAAAAAAAAAUGGGCCCUAAUUAAACUUAGAAGUUUUUGCACAGCAAAGGAAAUCCUAAACAAAACAAAAAGACAACCCACUGAUUGGGAGAAAAUAUUUGCAAAUGAAGUGACUAACAAGGGAUUAAUCUGCAAAAUAUAUAAACAGCUUCUGCAGCUCAAUACCAAACAAAAAACCCCAUCAAGAAAUGGGCAGAAGGAGUUCCCGUCGUGGCGCAGUGGUUAACGAAUCUGACUAGGAACCAUGAGGUUGCGGGUUCGGUCCCUGCCCUUGCUCAGUGGGUUAAUGAUCCGGCGUUGCCGUGAGCUGUGGUAUAGGUUGCAGACGCGGCUCGGAUCCCGCGUUGCUGGCUCUGGCGUAGGCCGGUGGCUACAGCUCCGAUUCAACCCCUAGCCUGGGAACCUCCAUAUGCCGAGGGAGUGGCCCAAGAAAUAGCAACAACAACAACAACAACAAC